rnacentral:miRNA from 1 species
UUUAGUUUAUGCGUGCAGGGGAUGAUGGGAGGUAAGGUAUCAUAUUGCUGAUUAUGCUCAGCAUUAUGAUACCUUACUUCUCAUCAUCCCCUGCACGCAUA